GUACCCUCCAGCCCUGCUGGGUGUUGGGCGUUUGUUCCGCUGCGUGCGUGAACUCGCCUCAAAUCCAUUGGCAGCCCGCCGUCCCGUGUGGGAGCGCAGCACAUUUUGCGCUCUCCGCUGCAGACGGCGGCAUCCACAAGUCUACACCUUUAC
rnacentral:misc_RNA from 1 species